GGGGUUGUAGCUCAGUGGUAGAGCACUUUCCUCACACAUAUGAGGCACUUCGUUCAACCCUCAGCAUCA
rnacentral:tRNA from 1 species